rnacentral:rRNA from 1 species
UACGGAGGGUGCAAGCGUUAUCCGGAUUCACUGGGUUUAAAGGGUGCGUAGGCGGGCAGGUAAGUCAGUGGUGAAAUCUUCGAGCUUAACUCGGAAACUGCCGUUGAUACUAUCUGUCUUGAAUACCGUGGAGAUGAGCGGAAUAUGUCAUGUAGCGGUGAAAUGCUUAGAUAUGACAUAGAACAUCAAUUGCGAAGGCAGCUCGUUACACGAAUAUUGACUCUGAGGCACGAAAGCGUGGGGAUCAAACAGG